UCUCUUGUUCAUCUAAAUCAAUUUUUUCUUCUGCUAAAAUCGAGAGACAACUGGGGGAUUUUUAUCAAAUCAAACCUAAUUAACGUUAAUCGUGGUUGUUUAUAAGAGAUUGAAUCAUUGGAUUAAAGAUUUAGUGGUAGUGAAGGUGACGAGGCGCAAAAGACAGUUUAAAGAGAGGGAAGGAGAUACAGGGGUUCACGAAUCACCAGCAACUGCAUUUCAUGAAUCACCAGCAAGGUGUUUGAGAAAAUGCGUGAGAGACAAGUUCUUCCUGAGUUGAAAUCUCCGCACAGCAGCUGCAGACAAGUUUACAGGUACCCAAUCUCCGAACUGUAACAUUUGGUAUCAGAGCCAGGUUUGUCUCCGGAUGAUGAAGCAAAGAAAGCAUCAAAGGACCAUGAGAUACCAUUCGAAACUUUUAUGGAGAAAUGGAAAAACUCAAUUGCAAAUAAGUUGAAUGUGUUGAUUGAGCAGUUUCAAAAGUUUAUGGAACUACAAACUAAUCAGAAGGCCGAAUGUUCUACAAAUGUAAAACGAACAUCAGGUGCUCGACCAAUUACUGGAG